rnacentral:rRNA from 1 species
AGUGAACGCUGGCGGUAGGCCUAACACAUGCAAGUCGAACGGCAGCACAGUAAGAGCUUGUUCUUACGGGUGGCGAGUGGCGGACGGGUGAGGAAUACAUCGGAAUCUACUUUUUCGUGGGGGAUAACGUAGGGAAACUUACGCUAAUACCGCAUACGACCUACGGGUGAAAGCAGGGGAUCUUCGGACCUUGCGUGAUUGAAUGAGCCGAUGUCGGAUUAGCUAGUUGGCGGGGUAAAGGCCCACCAAGGCGACGAUCCGUAUCUGGUCUGAGAGGAUGAAAGGCAACACGGGAAAUGAGACAGGGUCAAGACGACUAAGGGAGGGAGAAGGGGGGAAUGUGGGGAAAUGGGGGAAAGCAUGAACAAGCAAGGCCGCGUGGGUGAAGAAGGCCUUCGGAUUGUAAAGCCGUUUUAUGGGGAAAAAAAAGAUGUGGAAUAAAACCUGGAGGGCUUGAAGGUACCAAAUAAAAAAGCAACGGCUAACUACGUG